rnacentral:lncRNA from 1 species
AGGAAAAGCAACUGGUCCAAGGUCAGACAACCGAGUACUGGUACAGCUGGGACUAGACCCAGGUCUGUCUGGCCCACAUCAGAGCGUUCUCCAUCACAGAAGAGGUCUGGUCAUUCCCAUCACCAUGUGUCUCAGGGCCCCCAGUGAAGUCACCUCCCUGUGCCUGCAACACAGGAAGCACCUAAUACACGGUGGGCACUGUGAUCUGCAGCGUCCCACAGCACAGGGCUUGAGGGCAGCCGCCAAGAUGUGGGCAGAGGAGUGGGGAGGAAGGGGCAUUUGGGAGAAGGCGGCCACUGGGGGGCUUCCCUUCAGUGUGAACUCUGCUUUUCCAUCAGAGGGGUUCGAGUUCUGGAGCCUGGAUGUGAAUGGAGGCGAUGAGUGGAAGGGGGAGGAUCUCUCUCGAGACCAGAGGAAGGAAUUCCCCAAUGACCAGGUUCGCAGCCAGGCCAGAUUGCGGGUCCAAGUACCAGCUGUGCGUUCAGCUCCUGUCGUCCGCACACGCGCCUCUGGGGACCUUCCAGCCAGACCCGGCGACCAUCCAGCAGAAGAGCGAUGCCAAGUGGAGGGAGGUCUCCCACACAUUCUCCAACUACCCGCCCGGCGUCCGCUACAUCUGGUUUCAGCACGGCGGCGUGGACACUCAUUACUGGGCCGGCUGGUACGGCCCGAGGGUCACCAACAGCAGCAUCACCAUCGGGCCCCCGCUGCCCUGACACCCCCUGAGCCCCCAUCUGCUGAACCCUGACUGGUAAACAACUGCUGUCAGAAAAGGGCUGGGCUUGGGAAGGGGAGGUGGAGGCCAGGCGUCCCCAGACCUCUAACCCUUGCCCCUAGCCGCCUCUUCUUUGUGGAGCCUCUCAGUGUGGGCAGCCCUCACAUGCUGGGAUCGGGCCAGCUCUCCCCGAAAGGUCUUGACCUGAAUGAUGGCCGGGGAAGCCUGCGUGUGCCCCUUUCAGAGACGGAGCACCUGAGAUGUGGGAGGUGCAGCAUGUUCCCCUGGGCCCCUCAGAAAGUCGAGCUUGGAGGCCAGCCUGGAUCUGUCUCUCCCUUCCCCUCCUGGGACCAUUCUACCUGUGUUCUUUGACCCUCGGAGCAGGGACAGGCAAGACAACUGGCAAGCUUGCAGCUGCCCUGAUGGUGCAGGUGCAGGGAGGUGACCAUGUAACUCUGACCAAUCUGGGAAGUGGAGGGUGGGCUCAUGGGCCGUGCUCUGCCCCUGUCUGCUGCUCCCAGUCUCUCGCUCUGCCUGCCUGCUCAGAAGAGGUGGCUUUGGCCCAGAGGCUCAGGCCAGGACUGAGAUGGGCAGACCCAGGGCGGGGUGGGGUCCAGGUCGGGUGUGGACUGUCCUCACUGUCAGUGGAGCCCCAGAAGCUAGAUGGGUACCAGGUGGGGUCAGGUUCCCAGAGGACUGAGGGAGUCCUGCACAGGAUGUCCCAGGGUAGGUGGGGAGCAGGAUUGGGACCUGCUCUGACAGCUGGACACGUGAGCCCUGGAUGAGUGUGGUAGGGGGUUUGAAGGAUCCCCUGUCCACCUCCCAAAUCCAGGCCAGGCCCCCUCUGGCUUGGAGAGCAUUCCAAGACCCCACCCCACCCCUAGAACUGCCAUUCCCAAGACCUCUGUCUCCCAGCCAGCCACCCUUGGAACUUGCCUCUUGUCCUGCUGGAAGGACAGCAGUGUUCUCCUGACUUCGCCCUACUGCAUGCAGCCAAAUAAAAGGUGUGCCCAGUCUAACCUGUGCCCUGUGGUUUCUGGAAGGAAAGGCAGACUUUAGGUGGUCCUGCCUGGACCUGCAGAUGGUACAAUGGCAUGGCUUCUGUCUAAGGUACAGAGGGGUUGGCAUUUCAGGAACCAGGCCAUCACAGAAACAGGUUCAUGGGCAGACCCCUCAGUGAGCUGCAGGUAUCUCACCUG